rfam:Triticum aestivum genome assembly, contig: Triticum_aestivum_CS42_TGACv1_scaffold_527434_6DL
UAUAUACUCCCUCCGUCCCAAAAUUCUUGCCUUAGAUUAGUCUAGAUACGGAUGUAUCUAAUACUAAAACGUGACUUGAUACAUCCGUAUUUAGACAAAUCUAAGACAAGAAUUUUGGGACGAAGGGAGUACAUC